CCAGAGUCCUACGGGAGGCAGCAGUGGGGAAUCUUCCGCAAUGGACGAAAGUCUGACGGAGCAACGCCGCGUGAGUGAUGACGGCCUUCGGGUUGUAAAGCUCUGUUAAUCGGGACGAAAGGCCUUCUUGCGAAUAGUGAGGAGGAUUGACGGUACCGGAAUAGAAAGCCACGGCUAACUACGUGCCAGCAGCCGCGGUAAUACGUAGGUGGCAAGCGUUGUCCGGAAUUAUUGGGCGUAAAGCGCGCGCAGGCGGAUCAGUCAGUCUGUCUUAAAAGUUCGGGGCUUAACCCCGUGAUGGGAUGGAAACUGCUGAUCUAGAGUAUCGGAGAGGAAAGUGGAAUUCCUAGUGUAGCGGUGAAAUGCGUAGAUAUUAGGAAGAACACCAGUGGCGAAGGCGACUUUCUGGACGAAAACUGACGCUGAGGCGCGAAAGCCAGGGGAGCGAACGGGAUUAGAUACCCCGGUAGUCCUGGCCGUAAACGAUGGGUACUAGGUGUAGGAGGUAUCGACCCCUUCUGUGCCGGAGUUAACGCAAUAAGUACCCCGCCUGGGGAGUACGACCGCAAGGUUGAAACUCAAAGGAAUUGACGGGGGCCCGCACAAG
rnacentral:rRNA from 1 species